UACGUNCCAGCAGCCGCGGUAAUACGUAGGGCGCGAGCGUUNUCCGGAAUUAUUGGGCGUAAAGAGCUCGUAGGCGGCUGGUCGCGUCUGUCGUGAANUCCUCUGGCUUAACUGGGGGCUUGCGGUGGGUACGGGCCGGCUUGAGUGCGGUAGGGGAGACCGGAACUCCUGGUGUAGCGGUGGAAUGCGCAGAUAUCAGGAAGAACACCGGUGGCGAAGGCGGGUCUCUGGGCCGUUACUGACGCUGAGGAGCGAAAGCGUGGGGAGCGAACAGGAUUAGAUACCCUGGUAGUCCACGCCGUAAACGUUGGGCACUAGGUGUGGGGGGCCUUUUCCGGGUUUUCCGCGCCGUAGCUAACGCAUUAAGUGCCCCGCCUGGGGAGUACGGCCGCAAGGCUAAAACUCAAAGGAAUUGACGGGGGCCCGCACAAGCGGCGGAGCAUGCGGAUUAAUUCGAUGCAACGCGAAGAACCUUACCAAGGCUUGACAUGUGCCGGUCGGCUCCGGAGACGGGGUUUCCUCCUUGUGGGGCCGGUUCACAGGUGGUGCAUGGUUGUCGUCAGCUCGUGUCGUGAGAUGUUGGGUUAAGUCCCGCAACGAGCGCAACCCUUGUCCCGUGUUGCCAGCACGUUGUGGUGGGGACUCGCGGGAGACUGCCGGGGUCAACUCGGAGGAAGGUGGGGAUGACGUCAAAUCAUCAUGCCCCUUAUGUCUUGGGCUUCACGCAUGCUACAAUGGCCGGUACAGAGGGCUGCGAUACCGUGAGGUGGAGCGAAUCCCUUAAAGCCGGUCUCAGUUCGGAUCGGUGUCUGCAACUCGACACCGUGAAGUUGGAGUCGCUAGUAAUCGCAGAUCAGCAACGCUGCGGUGAAUACGUUCUCGGGCCUUGUACACACCGCCCGUCACGUCAUGAAAGUCGGCAACACCCGAAGCCCGUGGCCCUA
rnacentral:rRNA from 1 species